UUUCCAACGUGGAUGCCUUUUAUUCUUUUCUUGCCUAAGUGCUCUGGCUAGGACUUCCAAUACUAUGUUGAAUCCAUUUAAAAUUUGACAUAAAAAGCAAAGUGGUCCCAAGAAAGAGGUUUGAAACUAAAUACUGAGCACUCACUGAGUUUCUGAGCCAACUCCUUCCUUUUUUAUGAAGCCCCAUGUGAGUAAUGUAGGCAUUAGAAACAAUCCAAAGCUACUACUGCUAUGUAACAAACCACCUCAAAACUUAAGAGGCUUAAACGGUAAUCAUUUUCUCUCAUGGUUUCUGUGGGUCAGGAAUUUUGGAAAGGCUCUACUUGGCAAUUCUGACUUAGGGCAUCAGAUGCACUUGCAGUUAGACAGUGGCUGGAGCUGGAAUAGGUUGGAAUAGGGCUGGCCAUGCAUCUCUCUUUGCUUGUAGUUUCCAGGUCUCUCCACGUGGGCUGAUUUGGGCUUCCUCAUAGCAUGGUGGCUUCAGGAUUGUAGAGCUUUUUACAUGGUGGCUCAAGGACUACCAGCUUCUGUGUUCCAACAAACCAGCCGUAAGCUGUAUUGCCUUUUACAACCUAACCUUGGAUGCAUAUAGCAUUACUUUUGUCAUAUUAUCCAGUCACCUCUUGAUUUCGAGAAAGUCAGACUUCACUGACAUCUGAUUAACUGCCACAUCCACCCUCAAGAAGCCCAUCCUGUGUGGGAGGCGAGACAAGUCCAGAUGACACCAACCAAGACAAUAUCAAAAGACAUAAUUACCAUAGGAGAGAUGGUGGACUUUCCUUCUUGGCAAUGGCAAGACCUAACCCAGCUCCACCUCCUGAGUGUGGCAUUACAGGUGUUUACAUCAAUCUCCAACUUGGACUAGUAUCAGUUCUUGCAAGGGAAAAAGGUGAACCUGCAGAAACACCUAAUUCAUGGACCAGUUUAAUUCGAUUCUACUGGAAUACGAGGCCAAAUGUUUGACUUCCCUCAGGAAGGCAACAUGAGUUAAGAAAACAGCACUUCAUGGAAUAUUCCCAAAGAGCCCAAUUUGAUAAUUGAAAAAGAAAAUGAAAUUUUUCCAGACACCAAAGUGUAUGCUUCUGCAUGGAGAAGACAACUUUGCUAAACUUUGGGGAAAGAGAAAAGAUAAAGCUGGGUUCUGCAUCAUGAAAAAGACUCUAAUAGUACUAAUACCUGCUAAGUCUUGCCUCAAAGUCUACUCAGAAGAGAUGCUCAAAGAAGAACAAGCAAGGACCAAGGCUGUUUGCACCAUGAAGACCUAUCUUCAUCUUUCUAAAGCUGCACUAUCCAGUACAGUGGCUACUAGCCUCAUGUGGCUAUUUAAAUUUACUAAAAUUAAAUAAAAUUUAAAACUCAGUUCCUCAGUCAUAAUAGCCACAUGCAGUUAGUGGCUACCAUACAGAACAGCACAGAUAUAGAACAUUUCCGUCAUCAAAGAAACUACUAUCGGAUACUGCUGUAAAGGUUAAACAUAAGUGUGCCCUCUGUUCUGAAAGCCACAGAAACUGGGCUGGAGAGACACUAAUUGGCUGUAUUAUCUGGGUCAAUUCCUUUCCUAUUUCUAGGUGUCCUUUCCUAUUUCUACACCAUCUGAGUCAUGUUUUCACUAGUUCAGCGAUCUCCAAGAAGGAAUAAUAAUGCUGACACUGUGGUAACAUAGAAGCAUGUUGCUAUUUCUAGAUGUACACUAAAAUAUUUAGGUACGAUGUAUGUGGUGGUGUCUAUAUCUUAAAGUGGAUCAGAAAAAAAAAUUAUGUGUAUAUUCACAAUACACAUAUAAAUGUAUGCACAUGUGAGUGUAUAAAACAUACACAUACAUGCCUCAUUUAUACAAAGACAACCCAAUAUGGCAAAAUGUUCAUUACCGAAUCUGGAGGAAGGGGCACACAUGUUUGUUUUACUCUAUUCUGUGUCUGAAAUUUUAAUAAAAAAUUGAGAAAAGAAUACCCUGUGGAUAACACCCCCCCCCCCGCCUCUGCCACACCUUUCCAACCCACAUGUACAGAUACCAAGUCUCUCCUGAUCUUGACCAACAGCUGACACUCCAUGGAGAAGGCACUUCAGCAAAGGCCAGGCUGGCUGGCACUGAGUCUCAGGCUCGGCCUGCCCCUCGAGAUGGCGUACACUAAAUGCAAUGCAGCUGAAGGGAUGGGUGUGGAUUCUGAAGCAGAGCAGACUUAAGCUGAAACUCUGACUCUACCACUUCUGGCCGUGGUGAUUCAAAAACUUACUCUUCCUAUGAUCCUCACCCAUAAAAAGUAAAAACUUACAGGGAUAUUAGGGUAAGAAAACCAAAUCGUACAUAUUACCUAACAUCCUUCACAUUUUCCUCUCAAGCAUUACUUUAAAUUCAGCCUUCAAAUGGUAAAUGGACUGUGCAGUCCCUCACAUGGAUAUUAACACCUUCAGGUUUAUAAAGCACUCUCAUAAAUACCAUCUCAGACUACCCUUGGGGCUGAUAACACUGAUCUUACUUCACAGAUGAAGAAACAGGCUCUGUAAGGUUUGAGCAACCAAGUGCCCACAGCUGGUAAGUUACAGCUGGGCCUGGAGCCCAGUCUUUCACUCCAAGUCCAAGGCUCUUUCCACAGCACCACUCUGCCCUUCCUGAGAGGAGAGAUGCACUGUGGCUCUCCGGGCUGCCCGAAUCCCCACACAGCGGCCUGUGAUUAAGCAUCUCCAUGUGGUGGCCUUGUGACCUUGUUGGGAAAGAUACCUUCCCCGAAACUGUACAAGGACAUUAUGGCUAAUUCAUGUUAAAAAGGGAUAAAAGUAGAGUCAAAGUCAACUAUUCCACUGAAAACAGACACCCAAAGACAGAAAGGGAU